AUUGAACGCUGGCGGCAGGCCUAACACAUGCAAGUCGAGCGAGCGGCGGACGGGUGAGUAAUGUCUGGGGAACUGCCUGAUGGAGGGGGAUAACUACUGGAAACGGUAGCUAAUACCGCAUACUAUCGGAUGUACCCAUAUGGGAUUAGCUAGUAGGUGGGGUAAAGGCUCACCUAGGCGACGAUCCCUAGCUGGUCUGAGAGGAUGACCAGCCACACUGGAACUGAGACACGGUCCAGACUCCUACGGGAGGCAGCAGUGGGGAAUAUUGCACAAUGGGCGCAAGCCUGAUGCAGCCAUGCCGCGUGUAUGAAGAAGGCCUUCGGGUUGUAAAGUACUUUCAGCGGGGAGGCGUUACCCGCAGAAGAAGCACCGGCUAACUCCGUGCCAGCAGCCGCGGUAAUAC
rnacentral:rRNA from 1 species